CCCUGCCCUGCCCUGCCCUGCCCUGCCCUGCCGGCAGCUGCGCGGCCGCUGUGGGCUCCCUCCCCGCGGAGCAGCGGGUAGGGGCGGCCACGCCGCGGCCUGGCCUCUGCGCCCGCUCCGCAGCGCCCUCCGCGGCAGGCGGCGGGGCUCGGCUCGGCACUCCGCGGGGGUGGGCGCACCUGUUGCUCUUCCCUUGCCGCGGAGCGUGUUUGUGUUCCGGGGGCAGCAGGAGCGCUGUCCCCUUCAUGCGGCAGGCGCUGCCGUGGCGUUUCCCCCGGGUGUCACAGGCCCGGCACGCCCGGGUACCAGCAAUGAGCCUUACGGGGGAAAGUGGCCCACCAUCUCGGGACUCCUUGGUCUGACCUACCGUGGAUAUUCCUGCAGACCCUGCGGGAGGGGACAGGGACAAGCGAGACACCUCAGAAAGCAAGGGUGAAUUGCAGCACGUAGAUAAGCUCCAAAUUCCCAUCUGUGUUGUACUUAAGUUCCCCUGCAAGUCUACAAGGGCUAUUGAAGUUGUAUCCCACAGGAAGAGGAUCAGGUUCAAGAGAAGAUUGCUUUAUAAUCUAUUCCAGCAACACUGUAAAAAAAGAAGAUAGAUAUACCUCUGUGUGGAAAUGACAGACUUACAACAAGCACCUUUUCCAGGACCAGGAUCAGACACACACCCACAGUAAGCCUGAACCUCUGAUGGGGGAGUAGCAACAGUCAUAUGGUGAGAGAACGCAUUGAAUGCUGAACCUUCAGUCCAAUUUGUCUGGCCAGGUUGUGGUACAGCAGCGAGGGUGACAAAGAAAGAAUGGUGAAGAUGGAGCAGUUAAAAGCAUGAUGCCAUAUCCAACUCAGGCAAAAGAUUCACCACCUCUGCCUUAAGGAUGAUGCUUAUUUUUUCCUACCUCCGGAAAUCAAAAAACGUAUUUCUUUCUCACAGUUGUGUCCCCACCACCACUUUCAUGAUAAUAUCUUAUAAUGAAUCUCUCUAAAUUUUCAAAUGCUGCAAGGCCUGGCAAUUUUGUAUUGGGAAGAUUUCUGAUUGUAGCUUUCAUUACUCAAUUAUUAUUAUUCAAUCCUUUGUGCGCAAGCAUCCUUAUGUUCAGUAGAGCUUAUAGCCCUGCUAAUAGCUAUGCUUGUUUCUAAGUUACGCAUGCCAAAAGCUAUAUCCUUCCAUGCAAGCCCUUCAAAAUUACUUUGCUACUUCUGCACACAACUUCCAUUGUGAUUAGAGCAGCACCAGGGAUUGCCCUAAGAAUUUCAAAAGUCAAGUUGCCAAACAAAGUUUAUUUUACAGUCAACCCUAAAUAAUAUGUAUCACAGGGAAAAUCUAAUCUCUGAGGAAUGAUUAACAGCACAGGGCUGAUUCUAAUGAAUUAACACUACACCACAUAUAUCUAUAUGAUCUUGUACUGCGCAGUACUAUGUCCCGGUUACCUGAUGAUACUUUUUCCAGUACUUGUACUGUCUCUUUGCUUGUCUUCUUUUCUUUCACUACAUGUCUACCAGACAGGAGCACAUUUAAUGCUUUCAUUAGGUCAGAAAAAACAAAAACAAACUGAAGACUGUCAGGAAGAAUAAAUGUAUCAGCCCUGUUGUUCCAGUGCUACUGUACCUGGACUGUUGAAAGAACAUAUGCUGAACUAAUUUUCAUUUCAUUUUGUUUACAUCAGACAUAACCAAUACAAACUGGCUCUGUAGAAUGCACAGCAAGGAGGAUAACAUGUAAGAAGUGAGCACAAAAAAGCUCUCAGAAGUAGCUGCCUGUGUAUUCUCUGUGCCUAUGCUUUUAUUAGAAUCAUAGCGAAUGUCUGCUAGGAAAUGCAUGGCUUGAAAAGUAAUCAGACUUCAGUCUAGUAGGGAGGAUAUAGAAAGAGGAAAGCUAUGACAAGUAGGUAAGAAAAUAAUAUCACAUUGAUCAGGUGUGUGACUUUUAUUUUCCCUGCCUCCUGUCCACUACCUAUGCACCCAUCUGAAAUGUAAUCCACCCAUGACUGAGGGCUUACUCUGUGAUGGUGCAUUUAUUAAUCAACCCAAUUUAGAUCUCUCUGGGCCUAUCCAAAAAGCAUGCACUAUUAUCUGUCACAGCCCAUGACAGCUAUUCUCUAUCUGUCCCACUCUGUUCUAGUUGCACUACAGCCAAUACUCUCAGUUUUGUUUGUGUGAAUUUGUUCAUCUCGAGAUAACAACACUUUGAUAUCUAAGUUUUUCAUUCUACCAGAUUUCUGAGCUCUCUCUGAGCUUUCUCUUGCUUUAUGAACAAUUCCUGUCCAUCUUUUUUUAGCUGAUGUCAGCUUAUAAACCAGAGCAAAGUAAUGUUCUAUUUGAAGUAACAAUUACAGAGGAAAUGAGUGGAAAAUGCAUUUGAAUUUUUUAAUGGAGGAGCUAAAGAAGCAACAAAGUCAAAGCAAUAAAUAAACAAAUCUUUUCAUAAACUUAACAAUAUGCCUGACUAUGAUAGCUGCAUAAAAGAGUUAGAUAAAAGAAAACUAUCCCAACACCAAAAAUAAAAGGUUAAAAACAGGGCAAAACAGAAUCCAAUUAAUUCAGUCCAUUUUGGCCUGAUAUGGAGCUCAAGGACAACUAUGAACCUGUUAAUGGCCUUUCUAAUGGGGAUUGGUCCUAAGCCUAAAGACAUCAUAAGAAGCAGAGGCAUUUAUGCUUUCACAAAAACAUCUUCUAGCUCCUUUUUCAUUUUAAUGUAAGUCAAACAUGGACAAAAAAUAUUUUAAAACAAAUUCAUCUAAGCUUCACCAAGUUACUAAGCAAAAUGAUGCUUUUAAUGUAAUGUAAUGAUACUUGUAAUGUAAAAGCAAGAUCUUUACUUGGAUGUUCCUGGUUGACAAGAUUCUUGAAAUACUAUCACAUGAAAAGGAAGAUUUUUGCUUGCAAGCUUGUCUGCUGAAGAAUAGCUGCAGUGACACACAGUCAUCUUGCAGUAAUAGCAGCUAUGACUGGUAGAAAAGCCUCUAGUAUAAGAAAUAAUACAAUUCCAAGUUCCACAGAUUCAGGAAAAGUGAAACUUCAGCUAAUGUACUGUUGUGAACAUGUCAUUGUUAGCCUAUGCUUUUGACAUGCAAAAUAGCAGGACAAAAUGUUUCAUAAGUAUAUAAGAAAUACAUCAUAAGAUCCUGGAAAAAAAAAUAGUACAGUAGCUGCAAAAGGGAGUUCAAACUCAAAAUUAGAGCAGUUGUAUGAGGGUAAGAGGAACUUUCUCUUCCUGACAUGUCCCUUGGCUUUUCUUAGUGAAUUCACUAAAGAACUGUCUAUGUUCUGUAGUAUAAGUCUCUACUUAACACUUACAGUGGCUAAGCAUGGUCAUUUAAUUACUCUCUUUCCAUAUUUCCUUUCCUUUCUGAAUUAGAUAAUUUGCUAUUCUUGGUGUUUCCAAUUUCCAAUACAAUUGUCAAUACUACCAAUUAUAAAGAUCAGAAUGAACCAGAAAUAAAUGUUCUUUAUACCCAGCAAGGAGUCACGGAGAUGGAUUCUUCUCAGCAAGGCCGGCUCCUUCAUUCCCAUUCCUUCUGCACACCUGCAUUAAGUUUUGAAUGCACGAGAAUAACAAACGCAAUCAAAGUCAGUUCUAGUAGCUCCUAAGAGCCACUAGUCAGGAAAGCUGUGUAGUUCAAUCCUGAGAACUCAGUCCUGGAUAAAGUUGUUAUAUCUAGACCACUUCUGUGGCAUUUUUCUAGAAAAUGCUGAUUCCAGAUCUCUUCACAAGGCACUGCACUAGCAAAAAGGACCUUUUCAAAGUUAGAACUUUCUGCGCUUCAUCUCACAUUCCCACUGACACAGUCUGUGGAACUAGACAACUUCUGACUUUGCUUAUAAGGCAAAACACUGGUUAACUUCCAUUCUGGUCCUAUACCAAACAACUUCUAACUUUGCUGCUAGACAGCAAUAAUAGAUUUAUUUCUCCUAUUGCCUUAAUCUCCACAGCCACACUUCAAACCUAGGCAGUUCCUCAAAUCAGCACGUCCUAUCCUGAAGGAAAGACCUCUAUAUUGUUAUACUGCACAAAGUACAGUUGCUCAUGUUAGUGAACACAGUCGAACCAUAAAGUAUAAAAGUUCCAGUAAUAAUAA